rnacentral:rRNA from 1 species
GCUUGUCUCAAAGAUUAAGCCAUGCACGUCUGAGAAUAAAGAGUUUUCUCUGAAUCUGCGAAUGGCUCAUUAUAUCAGUUAUAGUUUAUUUGAUAGUCCUUUACUACUUGGAUAACCGUAGUAAUUCUAGAGCUAAUACAUGCGUAAAUACCCAACUGCUUGUCGGACGGGUAGCAUUUAUUAGAUUGAAACCAAUGCAGCUUCGGCUGGUAUUGUGUUGAGUCAUAAUAACUGUGCGGAUCGCUUUUUAAGCGAUAAAUCGAUUGAGUUUCUGCCCUAUCAGCUUUGGAUGGUAGGAUAUGGGCCUACCAUGGCGUUAACGGGUAACGGGGAAUUAGGGUUUGAUUCCGGAGAGGGAGCCUUAGAAACGGCUACCACAUCCAAGGAAGGCAGCAGG